rnacentral:misc_RNA from 1 species
GCUCUCUAUGCUGACGUCGGUGGAAAACAAUUCCCUGUCACUCGAGGCCAGGAUGUGGGGCGUUAUCAGGUGUCCUGGAGCCUGGACCACAAGAGCGCCCACGCAGGCACCUAUGAGGUUAGAUUCUUCGACGAGGAGUCCUACAGCCUCCUCAGGAAGGCUCAGAGGAAUAACGAGGACAUUUCCAUCAUCCCGCCUCUGUUUACAGUCAGCGUGGACCAUCGG